CCUACGGGUGGCCGCAGUGAGGAAUAUUGGUCAAUGGACGAGAGUCUGAACCAGCCCAGUAGCGUGAAGGAUGACUGCCCUAUGGGUUGUAAACUUCUUUUAUAUGGGAAUAAAACGUUCCACGUGUGGGAUUUUGUAUGUACCAUAUGAAUAAGGAUCGGCUAACUCCGUUCCAGCAGCCGCGGUAAUACGGAGGAUCCGAGCGUUAUCCGGAUUUAUUGGGUUUAAAGGGAGCGUAGGUGGAUUGUUAAGUCAGUUGUGAAAGUUUGCGGCUCAACCGUAAAAUUGCAGUUGAAACUGGCAGUCUUGAGUACAGUAGAGGGGGGCGGAAUUCGUGGUGUAGCGGUGAAAUGCUUAGAUAUCACGAAGAACUACGAUUGCGAAGGCAGUUCACUGGACUGCAACUGACACUGAGGCUCGAAAGUGUGGGUAUCAAACAGGAUUAGAUACCCUAGUAGUC
rnacentral:rRNA from 1 species